GUUUGCCCAAGUUCGCCCUCGGGUUCAGUCUCAGGUCCUGUGGGAGUCCUUUUGUUCUUAUUGGCCUUAGGUGGUCGACCUACUGGCCUUUUAGUUUUUGAGUUGCCAGGUUGUUGCCCUGGCGCCUCCUGAGAAUUCGCUCCUCCUUGGGAAGUGCUUCGAGUUACCACCAUCCUGGAGUGUUCGACUUUUCCUGGAAGGAGUGUUCGACUUUUCCUGGAAUGAGUGUUCGACUUUUGCCUGAAGAGGAAAGUCGAUCUUCAAGAAGUCGAUUCCUAGUGUGCUUGGAGGAUUCCUUGGAAGCCGAUGUUCGAAAGCCUAGCUCCUUGAGGGGUCGACUUUUCUUCGGAAGAAAAAGUCGAUCUCCUGAAAUGUCGAUCCCUUGCUGGCUGAUUUCCUCGCAAAACUUCCUAGCUGGCGACUUGGAAAAAAGUCGAUCCUUUUUUCGAAGAAGUCGAGGAGCUUUUGUCGUGAGUAUUUUUGAAUCACAGACGGCGCCAACUGAUGGGGGUGAAACCCGACCAGUACUCCAAGACGCGCAAGCAAGCGCCAAGCGGGGAACUCCGCGGGAAACCGGACCGGAACUCAAGUGUGCAGAGCUCUGCUUCGCUAGGAAUUCUUCUUCUCCAAAAAUGACUUACCUUUAAUGAGUGGGGGGUGCCCUCUAUUUAUAGGGGUUCUUAUGGGGUCAAUCUGGUCAUUUGGGCAGUAACCGCCUAACUGCCUAACUGAUCAGAUUGGGUCCAGGGGUCGACUUUCCAGAGAUCGACUUUCUGGGGGUCGACUUUUCCUGAUGAUCGACUUUACUCAAAAGUCGAUCCCAGGGAAGUUGAUCCUCAGGAAAGUCGAUCUUCCUAGGAUUCGACCUGGGACCUCCAUAACCCUAGAAUAGAUACCUCAACUCAUCUUAGGCUAUCCGGACUUCUAGUUGCUGGUAGGUUGUGACCGUGUUCGGGAUACUGUAUCACCAC
rnacentral:lncRNA from 1 species